rnacentral:rRNA from 1 species
GACGAACGCUGGCGGCGUGCUUAACACAUGCAAGUCGAGCGGAAAGGCCCUUCGGGGUACUCGAGCGGCGAACGGGUGAGUAACACGUGAGUAACCUGCCCCAGACUUUGGGAUAACCCUCGGAAACGGGAGCUAAUACCGGAUACGACACAGCUUCGCAUGGGGUCUGUGUGGAAAGUUUUUCGGUUUGGGAUGGGCUCGCGGCCUAUCAGCUUGUUGGUGGGGUGAUGGCCUACCAAGGCGACGACGGGUAGCCGGCCUGAGAGGGCGACCGGCCACACUGGGACUGAGACACGGCCCAGACUCCUACGGGAGGCAGCAGUGGGGAAUAUUGCACAAUGGGCGGAAGCCUGAUGCAGCGACGCCGCGUGAGGGAUGACGGCCUUCGGGUUGUAAACCUCUUUCAGCAGGGACGAAGCGUAAGUGACGGUACCUGCAGAAGAAGCGCCGGCCAACUACGUG